rnacentral:lncRNA from 1 species
AGUGGGCAAAAUGGUAGCAGCUGGCAGCUUCUGCUUCAGAUAAAUAGAUCUCAGCAGUAACAACCUGAAUUUGCCUGUCUCUCCAGACUUCAGAUCUGCUUGUUUGCCCUGCAACCUCAGUUCUUUGAUGGAUCCAAGAAAAGGCCUUGAUUUUUGGCUUAAGAUUUUUCUUAUUGUAAGAAGAGAAGUGAUGACUUCUAAGCUGUUUACACUGAGGGCCUAAAACCAGAGUUUUACACUUGAUUUUUGGAGAGAGGAUUCCCAACCUUUUCACAUCUUCCUCCAUGCUGCCAUAACCCAAAGUUACCACAUUGUUAUCUGGUCUUGGACACCAAUUGGAAACUCUAAACAUGAGGAUAGUAAAGAAGCCAGCUGCAUUGUUGUAAGCUGCCCUGUGGAGAAGGCCACAUGGCAAGUAACUGAGGGAAGUUUCUAGCCAAGCACCAGUGAGAAAUUGAGGUUCUCAGUUCAACAGUCCACAAGGAGCUAAAUCCUGCCAACAAUGAGAUAAAUGAGCUUGGAAAUGGUCAUUCCCUCAAUAAAGCCUUCAGAUGAGACCACAGCCCCAA